rnacentral:rRNA from 1 species
ACGAAGGGGGCUAGCGUUGUUCGGAAUCACUGGGCGUAAAGGGCGCGUAGGCGGCUUUGUAAGUCGGGGGUGAAAGCCUGUGGCUCAACCACAGAAUUGCCUUCGAUACUGUAGAGCUUGAGACCGGAAGAGGUUAGUGGAACUGCGAGUGUAGAGGUGAAAUUCGUAGAUAUUCGGAGGAACACCAGUGGCGAAGGCGGCUCACUGGUCCAUUACUGACGCUGAGGUGCGAAAGCGUGGGGAGCAAACAGGA